GACGAACGCUGGCGGCGUGCUUAACACAUGCAAGUCGAACGAAGAGCGGUGGAGCCUUGCUUCUAUCAGUCUUAGUGGCGCACGGGUGUGUAACGCGUAAUCAACCUGCCCUUCAGUGGGGGACAACAGUGGGAAACGACUGCUAAUACCACAUUCGUUCUAAUCUCGGCAUUGAGGAUAGAUGAAAGGUGGCCUCUACAUGUAUACUAUCACUUAAGGCGGGUAUGGCGGCUGAUUAGCUAGCUGGUGGGGAAACGGCCCAACAAGGGGAUGAGCAGGAGCCGGGCCGAGAGGAGGGACGGCCCAAUCGGGAAUGAGACACGGCCCAGGCCUCUUCGGGAGGCAGCAGGGGGGAAUCUUCCGCAAUGGAGGGAAGGCCUAAGGAGGAACGCCGGCGUAGGGAUGACGGCCCUCGGGUUGGAAAGCUCCGUUAAUCGGGACGAAAGGCCUUCUUGCGAAUAGUGAGAAGGAUUGACGGUACCGGAAUAGAAAGCCACGGCUAACUACGUG
rnacentral:rRNA from 1 species